rnacentral:lncRNA from 1 species
UGUGAUGCAAAGUUCGUUAUUCCUUUCUGGAUUUUAGUUCAUGUUAUGAUGGAAUUCAUGAAAAGUUAUAGUUCACGUGUUUGCCUUGUACUGAUGAGUUUUGAUUGUGUGACAUAUUUGGGUUUCUUGUGAUGAAGGAAGUGUUGCGGCUACGACAGCGCCACCACCACUUGUGAUUUCCUGUUGAAGGUUUGUUUCUCUUUAUAUUUUAUUUCUCUGCAAUUCGUCUCUAUUUUUUCUUUUGAAUUUGCAAACCUCCUGAUUCUUAUUUUAUAAUCUUUCUUUUUGGUAGAAAAGUUCGUUAUGAGAAGUGUCAAACUACCAUCUUCGACGCCCUUUGUUUGAAAAUUAGUUUUGGAGAUACUCCCUCCGUAUUUUAAUAAGUGUCGUUUUAGGAUUUUCUUUUUUUAAAAAUUAGAUGUCGUUUUCAAAUUUCUAUACAAAAUUUAUUACUUUUUAAUGUUUUAUGAUAUCAUAAAACAUUAAAAAAUAAAAAAUUUUGCAUAGAAAUUUGAAAACGACAUCCAAUUCAAAAAAAUAAAAAUUCUAAAACGACACUUAUUAAAAUACGGAGGGAAUAGUAUUUUUCUCUAUUGUGUCGAUUUCACAUAUUUGUUUAGAGAGUAGUGUGAACACAUCUACCAAACGAAGUCAUGGACAAUAUGUGAUGUUUAUAAAAUUUAACGAAGGUUCAAAUUCCCUUAUUUUUCUCUCUCGUUGUCGUGUUUCUAUAUAUGAGAUGUUUAUAAGGUUUAAAUUCUCUUAUUGAUAAUGGGUUUUGAUUUUACUAUCACUUGUACUUUCCAAUAAGAGAUUUAAGGAAGAGACGAGUGUUAAUCGCAGUGAUUUUGGUUAGAUUUUGUUAAGCUUGUCUAACAUUUGAUGGAUAGUUAUAAAUGGAUAAAGUGACAUGGGUA